UACGAAGGGGGCUAGCGUUGCUCGGAAUUACUGGGCGUAAAGCGCACGUAGGCGGCUUCUUAAGUCGGUGGUGAAAUCCUGGAGCUCAACUCCAGAACUGCCUUCGAUACUGGCGAUCUUGAGUCCGGAAGAGGUGAGUGGAACUCCUAGUGUAGAGGUGGAAUUCGUAGAUAUUCGGAAGAACACCAGUGGCGAAGGCGACUUACUGGACACAUAUUGACGCUGAGGUGCGAAAGCGUGGGGAGCAAACAGG
rnacentral:rRNA from 1 species